rnacentral:lncRNA from 1 species
UGAAUCUCCCAAGAGAGCAAAGGCAUUAUUCCUCCACAUCUGCUGGAGGGCAGGCUGUCUCUGUAGCAGGGGAUGGGGGAUUUCUUCUAUUGUAAUCAGCAGUCAUUAGUUUUGGGAGUCAUAGUUGGCCUACCUUUAUUUCAGACUUUAUCCAUCAGUUUUCAAAUAGGAAGACAGUGUUUACUAAUGAACUUUAUCUUUCCUGGGGUCAGCAGCCCAAUAAAGCAAUUGUUUGGAUUUGGGAAUGUAAGGACCAUCUCCUCCAAGCUAAACUCUGAAGUAUAAGGUUUCCUGGGAAUUGGAUGCUGAGAUGAAAAGCAUAUGAGUAGCUUUCUUCCAGCAUUCUUCUUGGUGAUUAACCAACUAUCCAAGUACAAAGUUGCUCCUAAUUAACCCUGAGGACCCCAAUAUAAAGUUGCAAAUGAAAGAAGUCCUGCUACUCUAAAGAAUAACUAAACCAGACUGGAGUCACUGAAACUGAUGGAAGAACAUCUCAGGCAUGAGUGCCAUGGUGACGUCAUCAGCUCCGUUCACAACCACUCACCAUGAGGCCAUUGCUCCUGUGGAGGACACUGGCUUAGGACUCAUGAAGUAGUACCUCAGGAAGGUGUCUCUGUAAGUGUUCCUUCCACCAGCUCCAAGACACAAUGAGAUGGAGAGAACUGGAACAAUUCCCUAUGAUUGCAGCUGGAUAUUUUCACAUGAACUAUCUAGUAAUGAAGGCAAUGGCAUGUGGUGUGGCAAAGACUGGCCCCAGAUUACAUUUCCAGUCCUUUUGUACUGAGGAGGGGCUUUGGGACCAAGACAGUAGGAGUGAGGGUACAGGUUCCACAUUCUAUUUCUCUCUUAGUUUUCUGUGGUUAUCUUGGUGACUGCAUGGUAAAGAUGGAGGUGACAAAAGAUGGAAGGAGCCUGGAUCCCUGAAUGACUUCAUGGUGCAGAGCCUUACACUACCCCCAACUCAUACUAAAACAGGGGUGGGAGGAACAAUAGACCAUUAUUCUGUUAAGGUGCUGAAAUUGUAGAGCUGUUAAUUUGAACAGUUAGAGUUUCUUAUACUGAUACAGUAUCCUUACCCUGGAUUGUUGAAAUAAUUAGUCCAAAUAGUUUCUUUGCCUAAAACUGUGGACAGAGCCUAAGCAAUAUUGAAUCCAAGACAAGGUAUAUUUAUCAUCAAAUGCUACUCACUAUACAAUACAGAUGAAUGUGGCACUUACUUCCCGUGUUGUUACCCAGCCUGCUUCUAGUAUUCUUUACACAAAAUAACAUUCAUGAGCAACCUGG